AGAAUAAGCUGUAAGGAACGAUCAAAUAGAACGGAAAGUAUUACAGACCUACCAAUGCUUCUAACUGUGCACAGCUUAUCAGUUCAAUAGUUUUUAUAUUGGAAUAACUCAGAGCUAGUUAGAUUACUCAUGAUUUUCAUCACAUUUAUUGGAUCAGCAUCAGUGUUCAAAUGGGAGGUAUCUGCAUGUGCUAGAACAAUGUCUCUCUAACGUCAACAAACAUCUGCUGUGGCAGAAGACCAAAAUCAGCAAAGGCUAAUUCAUCGAUGGCUUAUUAUUUGAAUCUGUGUCCCUGUCUCGAGUCAGGCUUGUGAUGGGUUCAUCUGCUGCCUCCUCUCCCCAAGCUGCCUUUUAAGCAGUCGCUGGCAUUUCGUGCUGCCCUUAGGUCAGGUCCAACUCGAUCAGCAUCGGUUUAUUAUGAAAUGCCCAGAGUGAUUUUACUCAUCGUGUCUAUCUCAAAACAGUUCAAGAGAAAGUUUAAAUAUUAUUCCUGGCUCCUUCAGCUGCCAACUCCAACAGCUUUUUCAUGAAGUUUCCAUGCUGCUCUGUAAAAUGGUAAGAGUUCUUUUCCACUGAUUUACAUUGGCCUAAAACCAUUGAAGUAGGCUAAAAAAAAAAGAAGAAAGGAUUCCAUUUGUGCUUUCAAGGCAUUUCUGUGUGAAACCCAGACUCUCAUGGACCUGUGGCACAGAUAGAUAGCAGCAGAAGGGAGCUGGCUGCAGCUGGGUGCAGUGUUACCUGCCAGCAUAACCUGCACCAGGGGUGAUGAAUAUGUUUCAGCACACAGGCUGUGAACAUUUUGACUAAUCAAAGGUUAUUAGCAUCUCCCUGUUGCCUUUUGGUCUUGGAAGGCAGCAAAUACAGGCUUCCCUGUUUCAUCAAAGCAAAGAUAACAGUAGGCUGCAAACACCAGAGCCUGAUUUACAGUGCAUUUAAAUCCCACUAGGUAAGGGAUGCUUGGCCUGAUAAAGUUCAGAGCAGUUUGGUGCUGUGCUCAGGUUCACGCAUGAGAAAAGUGGCAAUAUAAACUGUAAACACAAAAGCAGUCAUUCACAUUCACAGCUGUGGAUGUUAAAAGCUUCACAGCAGUCAGGUGAAGCCCAAUCAGCCUAACAGAUAAGGAAAAUGAGGCACAGGAGUGGUCCUUGCCUGAAGCUGAACAAGUGGGUUUGAAGCUGGGAAUAGACCCAAGCUCUCCAGAGAGCCAACACUGCACAGAGCCACUGCUGUUACCUGCUAAGGAAAAAGGAGCUGAGUAAUAAACGCCAGUAGCAAUGCUUCAGCAGC